rnacentral:rRNA from 1 species
GAUGAACGCUGGCGGCGUGCCUAAUACAUGCAAGUCGAGCGAACGGACGAGAAGCUUGCUUCUCUGAUGUUAGCGGCGGACGGGUGAGUAACACGUGGAUAACCUACCUAUAAGACUGGGAUAACUUCGGGAAGCCGUAGCCAAUACCGGAUAAUAUUUUGAACCGCAUGGUUCAAAAGUGAAAGACGGUCUUGCUGUCACUUAUAGAUGGAUCCGCGCUGCAUUAGCUAGUUGGUAAGGUAACGGCUUACCAAGGCAACGAUGCGUAGCCGACCUGAGGGGGUGAUCGGCCACACUGGAACUGAGACACGGUCCAGACUCCGACGGGAGGCAGCAGUAGGGAAUCUUCCGCAAUGGGCGAAAGCCUGACGGAGCAACGCCGCGUGAGUGAUGAAGGUCUUCGGAUCGUAAAACUCUGUUAUUAGGUAAGAACAUAUGUGUAAGUAACUGUGCACAUCUUGACGGUACCUAAUCAGAAAGCCACGGCUAACUACGUG